GCAGUAAAAUAUGGACAAGUUCCUGUAUUUUAUGGAAGGUGUAGUAUUGAAGCUUCUUGCACUGAUCUAGAAUGGAUCUUGACUUCGCCCAAGAGUGAGAUGUGAAAGCGCAUGUUACAUAAGAAAUCAUUAUCUCUGAAGCAUACUCACAUUGGACCAAGAACUAGGCGAGGUUCAGACUUCAGAGAAAUGAUAACAAGUCUCCUUUUCAUUCGAGCGGGACGAUGAGGGAAAGAACUGGUU